GACGUAGGGCGCGAGCGUUGUCCGGAUUUAUUUGGGCGUAAAGAGCUCGUAGGCGGCUUGUCGCGUCGGCUGUGAAAUCCCGUGGCUCAACUGCGGGCUUGCAGCCGAUACGGGCAGGCUAGAGUUCGGUAGGGGAGACUGGAAUUCCUGGUGUAGCGGUGAAAUGCGCAGAUAUCAGGAGGAACACCGGUGGCGAAGGCGGGUCUCUGGGCCGAUACUGACGCUGGAGGAGCG
rnacentral:rRNA from 1 species